rnacentral:rRNA from 1 species
UACGUAGGGGGCAAGCGUUGUCCGGAAUUAUUGGGCGUAAAGAGCGUGUAGGCGGCCAGAUAAGUCCGCUGUGAAAUCUCGAGGCUCAACCUCGAGACGUCGGCGGAAACCAUCUGGCUAGAGUCCGGAAGAGGAGAGUGGAAUCCUGGUGUAGCGGUGAAAUGCGCAGAGUAUCAGGAAGAACACCCGUGGCGAAGGCGGCUCUCUGGGACGGUACUGACGCUGAGACGCGAAAGCGUGGGGAGCGAACAGG